GAUGAACGCUGGCGGCGUACCUAAUACAUGCAAGUCGAGCGAACAGACGAGGAGCUUGCUCCUCUGACGUUAGCGGCGGACGGGUGAGUAACACGUGGAUAACCUACCUAUAAGACUGGGAUAACUUCGGGAAACCGGAGCUAAUACCGGAUAAUAUAUUGAACCGCAUGGUUCAAUAGUGAAAGACGGUUUUGCUGUCACUUAUAGAUGGAUCCGCGCCGCAUUAGCUAGUUGGUAAGGUAACGGCUUACCAAGGCGACGAUGCGUAGCCGACCUGAGAGGGUGAUCGGCCACACUGGAACUGAGACACGGUCCAGACUCCUACGGGAGGCAGCAGUAGGGAAUCUUCCGCAAUGGGCGAAAGCCUGACGGAGCAACGCCGCGUGAGUGAUGAAGGUCUUCGGAUCGUAAAACUCUGUUAUUAGGGAAGAACAAAUGUGUAAGUAACUAUGCACGUCUUGACGGUACCUAAUCAGAAGGCCACGGCUAACUACGUG
rnacentral:rRNA from 1 species